AAUUAACCUGUGAAAGAUACAGGAAGAAAAGCUAGUAUGCAGUUGAGUAUGAAGAAAAUGGGAGAAAGGGGUAUUUGAAGUGAAAAAUAACAUUUUACUUUAUGAGUUCUCUCUAUUAGCUUCUGCAAGUCCAUCACCUACUUUGUGGACAUCCUAAUUGUCCAUUAGUCUUUGAUCACCAGUUGCUUUGAAAAUGUUAGCCUUCUUAACUACUGAACAUAUUGGAAAAGCCAAGCCCUUAAAGAGAGUCCAGAGUCAUUCAAGCCCAGUGGGAAGACAAAAGUUAGAACAAUUGGCUGUGGCCCAGGAUGCAUAGGACAACUUUGGCCUCAAUGAUGUCUGGCCAUGCUCUUAUCAUUCCAUAGCACCUAUUUCAGCUGUUUUCAUGGAGAUUGGAACAAAUUGUUCUCAAUGACCUAUUCCACUCAAGGAAGUCUUCACAUGCCUGGGUUCCAGAAAACGAAACAACAAUAACAACCCAAAAGCAUUAUUCGUUGUCUCCGGUUUGUUGAAAAUGAAUCACUGGGAAGCACAGGACUCUCGUUUUGCUCAAAGAACUUAAUAGAACACCCACAGCAAACUUGGGAGUCACAUUGUUCUCGCCAAUUACUGGAGAGGCCUCUGGUUUCUCCAUUUUAAUUGCUCUAAGCAGGGAAGCUUUAGUCACUGUGCAACGUACCCAAGCAUGUAUGGAGUUUAAUGAAUCAUACUAAGUCUGCACUCUAAGCAAUUAGGUAAAUCUAGCUGUUAGUUAGUGAGGC
rnacentral:lncRNA from 1 species